UCCGUGUUCACCACGGCAGUCUCCCUAGAGAGCCCAACUGAAUGCUGGCAACUAAGGACAAGGGUUGCGCUCGUUGCGGGACUUAACCCAACAUGUCACCACACGAGCUGACGACAGCCAUGCAGCACCUGUCUCCCCGUUGUAUUGCUACAAAAGACGUGUCUCCACGUUUGUCGAGGGAUGUCAAACCCAGGUAAGGUUCUUCGCGUUGCUUCGAAUUAAACCACAUGAUCCACCGCUUGUGCGGGCCCCCGUCAAUUCCUUUGAGUUUUAGUCUUGCGACCGUACUUCCCAGGCGGGGUACUUAGUGCGUUAGCUCCGGUUCAGCGGGGGUCAAGACCCACCAAACCUAGUACCCAUCGUUUACAGCGUGGACUAC
rnacentral:misc_RNA from 1 species